UGGGUGUGAAACCUACAUAAAAAUCGGGACUGUGUGAGAGAAUGGGAAUGGGUGCUUCCUGGGAAGCCAACAUCUGCUAAGCCCUGCCGUGGGAGAGGCUCUGCAGCUAAACAUGUUCACCCUCAUGACACUCCGUAAGGACAUCACAAAAUACGGAUUCCCAGGCUCUGGCAACUGAAUCAAGUCUGGAAAGGGAGACUGAGAACCUGCAUUUUAAUGAGCUCCUUGGAGAACCCUGAUGUUCAGUCAAGUUGGAAAGCCACUAACUAGAAGUGUCUGGUGAGUUGGCUGGUCUCUGGCCAUAAAGAAAAGCAUCUGAGAGGCUACAAAACAAAUGACAAACUACCCCAAGAAAGAUGAAUCUGUGGGGCAGAGAGCAAUCGGAGAUGGCUUCGAUGUCCCUGAGCAGCGGGAAGGUUUUCACCUUGGCCUGAACCAAUGGAACCAUCAUCAACGGAGCCGUGUGCAGUGGAAAAACUGUUAUCUUCAGAUAGCAGGCUACUCCAGUUUCUUCUCUCUCCUCCUCCCCUCCUCCUCCUCCAAGCUGAUCACAUUUCCUUGGUGAUUUUCAUGCUUCGUCAGUAGGUCUUAGGGGACAAGUAUGAAUUCCAUAGGGACCUUGUCCAUAUAAACUACUCAGUACUUAUGUUCUUUGUAUGAUAUCUUCCUUCCUUUCCUUCUGCCAUAAGCACUGGUUAAACACCUACUAUGUGCUAUGUGGUGAGCACUACUGUAGAGAAGAAAGCCCUUAAACUGCAAUGGGAGCCACCAGGGAGGCUCUGAGGAGACAAAGAUAAUGUCACUGCUCUGAUCUGCAGAAAAAUGCAUUUCAGGUUACUUUCUUCUUUAGAUAUUAAAAGAGCUGUAACUGAGUGGGAGAAAAUUGAGAGCCUGGCAGCUAGAAUACAGGAUUUCCAGGGAAUUCUACAAAAUCAUGUAAAGCCCCCAUACGGUGAACACUAACCAGUCUCGAAUCCAGAAUACAAUUGAGAUCAGCAGAACACCUCCUAGCCUUUCAUUAUUACCAGCGACUGUUUAAAUUG